CUUAAACCUAAUUCCCAAUUUCCCAUCUUCCUCUCCUCCUUCCUCCCUUGGACCCUCACUCCUCAUCAUCUUCUUCUUCCCCUUUUUUGGCUUUUCUAUUGUGUGUUCUUUAUGCGUUCGGUGACUGAGCCGCAUAUUAGGAAUCAGCAAAAUGCAACAUAGAAGGUCAUAUAAGAUCAAGGCAGCAUAUUUGGGAACAGAAGGAAAGAGAGACUGCCUUGAAAAACAACAACGUGAUCGGCUCAAAGAAAAUCAGCAAACUUAUAUGUAGCUGAAGAUGCAAACGAUUCUGGACAGUGGCUGCAAUAGCUCUCCAUAUGUUGUAGACACCGGAAACCUAGUGUCACUACAAGAAAUUAUCAAUUUUGUAAUGAAAUUUUUUCGUUACUAAAUUCACUUUUUCUGUUACUAAUGAUAUUAGAGACGGAAUUAGAGAUGAGAUGAAAUUACGUUAGCUACGUGAACUUUAGGAACGAAAUUCCGUUACAAAUAUACUAAUUUUAUUGUAGUGUGUGUUUAAACCCUGUCUCGCACGGUACAUAUACAUAUUUUUUCAUUCAUCCGGGUAGAGAUCUAUGAUUUGAAGAAAAAGUAAAAGGAGAUCCGAGAGCACAUUGUGGCAUUCCCCUAUGAAGCAGGUCAAGAUUGGAAACCAGAUAUAUACAUAAAGCAAGAUAACAGUCGAUUAUCGACAAGCCCAACAUUCCCUAAACGCCUCCCGGGUGGAAAUUCGCGGCAUUCAAUACUUUAGCCUUUGUGUUCAAACUUUCCCCGGUUGACCCAAAAUGUAUGAUCUAUGAAUAUUGUCUAGUAAUAUUUUUGAGCUAAGAAUCGCAAUUUUUCUAUUUUGUUCAAUAUAUACUAAGUAAAUUCUACAAUACUGAUCUGCCAAAUUGCAACCCAUUGGUGGAUGAAUGUGGCUAUGAGUACAUAUAAAGAAUUAUCUCUUUCUCUAUGUUCUUAUUUAAUUAUUAUGUAAAUCAUGCUUACGGUGCGUGUUUAAAUUUUAUGCAGUUAUGGGUCGUCCACUUUGAGAUGCUUUUGUGUGUGUGGGAGAUAUACAGGAAGGAAGCAUUUAAUUUGGCUAAAUAUGUUAUUUAUGUUUGAUCAA